rnacentral:rRNA from 1 species
GUCUAUGGCCAUACCACCUAGAACAUGCCCGAUCUUGUCUGAUCUUGGAAGCUAAGCAGGGUCGGGCCUGGUUAGUACUUAUAUGGGAGAAGUUAUCAUUUGUUGCAUCUACUAAUGAGUUUGGUCUGCUAUUUCACC